CCCUGCCAUUUGUACACACCGCCCGUCGCUCCUACCGAUUUCGAGUGAUCCGGUGAACCUUCUGGAUUGCGAUCGUUGAAAGACGACUGCGAGAAUUUAAGUAAACCAUAUCACUUAGAGGAAGGAGA
rnacentral:rRNA from 1 species